GUCAUUUGAACGCAAAACAUUCCAUAAAAAGGUUCUAAUUACACAUAUCAAUAAUUGACCACCACCGCCAGCAGUCCCCGAGGGAAACACAAUGACUAACACACCUAAAAACCUUCCUUUUUAUUGCAUUUAGAAAUUAGAAUUCAUCUUUUACCCACAAUUGGCUAUCAACAAAAUAUCAUAUGGAAAUGACUUGCUUCUUAUCAAUUGAACCCAAAAAA
rnacentral:misc_RNA from 1 species